AGAGUUUGAUCAUGGCUCAGAUUGAACGCUGGCGGCAGGCCUAACACAUGCAAGUCGAACGGUAACAGGAAGCAGCUUGCUGCUUUGCUGACGAGUGGCGGACGGGUGAGUAAUGUCUGGGAAACUGCCCGAUGGAGGGGGAUAACUACUGGAAACGGUGGCUAAUACCGCAUAACGUCGCAAGACCAAAGAGGGGGACCUUCGGGCCUCUUGCCAUCAGAUGUGCCCAGAUGGGAUUAGCUUGUUGGUGAGGUAACGGCUCACCAAGGCGACGAUCCCUAGCUGGUCUGAGAGGAUGACCAGCCACACUGGAACUGAGACACGGUCCAGACUCCUACGGGAGGCAGCAGUGGGGAAUAUUGCACAAUGGGCGCAAGCCUGAUGCAGCCAUGCCGCGUGUAUGAAGAAGGCCUUCGGGUUGUAAAGUACUUUCAGCGGGGAGGAAGGUGUUGUGGUUAAUAACCGCAGCAAUUGACGUUACCCGCAGAAGAAGCACCGGCUAACUCCGUGCCAGCAGCCGCGGUAAUACGGAGGGUGCAAGCGUUAAUCGGAAUUACUGGGCGUAAAGCGCACGCAGGCGGUCUGUCAAGUCGGAUGUGAAAUCCCCGGGCUCAACCUGGGAACUGCAUUCGAAACUGGCAGGCUUGAGUCUUGUAGAGGGGGGUAGAAUUCCAGGUGUAGCGGUGAAAUGCGUAGAGAUCUGGAGGAAUACCGGUGGCGAAGGCGGCCCCCUGGACAAAGACUGACGCUCAGGUGCGAAAGCGUGGGGAGCAAACAGGAUUAGAUACCCUGGUAGUCCACGCCGUAAACGAUGUCUACUUGGAGGUUGUGCCCUUGAGGCGUGGCUUCCGGAGCUAACGCGUUAAGUAGACCGCCUGGGGAGUACGGCCGCAAGGUUAAAACUCAAAUGAAUUGACGGGGGCCCGCACAAGCGGUGGAGCAUGUGGUUUAAUUCGAUGCAACGCGAAGAACCUUACCUGGUCUUGACAUCCACGGAAGUUUUCAGAGAUGAGAAUGUGCCUUCGGGAACCGUGAGACAGGUGCUGCAUGGCUGUCGUCAGCUCGUGUUGUGAAAUGUUGGGUUAAGUCCCGCAACGAGCGCAACCCUUAUCCUUUGUUGCCAGCGGUCCGGCCGGGAACUCAAAGGAGACUGCCAGUGAUAAACUGGAGGAAGGUGGGGAUGACGUCAAGUCAUCAUGGCCCUUACGACCAGGGCUACACACGUGCUACAAUGGCGCAUACAAAGAGAAGCGACCUCGCGAGAGCAAGCGGACCUCAUAAAGUGCGUCGUAGUCCGGAUUGGAGUCUGCAACUCGACUCCAUGAAGUCGGAAUCGCUAGUAAUCGUGGAUCAGAAUGCCACGGUGAAUACGUUCCCGGGCCUUGUACACACCGCCCGUCACACCAUGGGAGUGGGUUGCAAAAGAAGUAGGUAGCUUAACCUUCGGGAGGGCGCUUACCACUUUGUGAUUCAUGACUGGGGUGAAGUCGUAACAAGGUAACCGUAGGGGAACCUGCGGUUGGAUCACCUCCUU
rnacentral:rRNA from 1 species